CUCAGUCCUCUGCUAAAGCCCACCUGUGCUCCCGCCUGGAAAGUUGGGCUUGCAGCAGAGAGUAAGGAG
ensembl:miRNA